UACGUAGGGACCAAGCGUUGUUCGGAUUUACUGGGCGUAAAGGGCGCGUAGGCGGCAAAUCAAGUCAGCUGUGAAAUCUCCGAGCUUAACUCGGAACGGUCAGCUGAUACUGUUUUGCUAGAGUACAGAAGGGGCAAUCGGAAUUCUUGGUGUAGCGGUGAAAUGCGUAGAUAUCAAGAGGAACACCUGAGGUGAAGACGGGUUGCUGGGCUGUUACUGACGCUGAGGCGCGAAAGCUAGGGUAGCAAACGGG
rnacentral:rRNA from 1 species